rnacentral:rRNA from 1 species
UACGUAGGGCGCAAGCGUUAUCCGGAAUUAUUGGGCGUAAAGAGCUCGUAGGCGGUUUGUCGCGUCUGCCGUGAAAGUCCGGGGCUCAACUCCGGAUCUGCGGUGGGUACGGGCAGACUAGAGUGAUGUAGGGGAGACUGGAAUUCCUGGUGUAGCGGUGAAAUGCGCAGAUAUCAGGAGGAACACCGAUGGCGAAGGCAGGUCUCUGGGCAUUAACUGACGCUGAGGAGCGAAAGCGCGGGGAGCGAACGGG